rnacentral:rRNA from 1 species
GACGAACGCUGGCGGCGGGCUUAACACAUGCAAGUCGAACGGAAAGGCCCUGCUUUUGUGGGGUGCUCGAGUGGCGAACGGGUGAGUAACACGUGAGUAACCUGCCCUUGACUUUGGGAUAACUUCAGGAAACUGGGGCUAAUACCAGAUAGGAGCUCCUGCUGCAUGGUGGGGGUUGGAAAGUUUCGGCGGUUGGGGAUGGACUCGCGGCUUAUCAGCUUGUUGGUGGGGUAGUGGCUUACCAAGGCUUUGACGGGUAGCCGGCCUGAGAGGGUGACCGGCGACAUUGGGACUGAGAGACGGCCCAGAGUCCUACGGGAGGCAGCAGGGGGGAAUAUUGCACAAUGGGCGGAAGCCUGAUGCAGCAACGCCGCGUGCGGGAUGACGGCCUUCGGGUUGGAAACCGCUUUCGCCUGUGACGAAGCGUGAGUGACGGUAAUGGGUAAAGAAGCACCGGCUAACUACGUG